rnacentral:rRNA from 1 species
CCUACGGGUGGCAGCAGUGGGGAAUAUUGCGCAAUGGGCGAAAGCCUGACGCAGCGACGCCGCGUGAGGGAUGAAGGUCUUCGGAUCGUAAACCUCUGUCAGCAGGGAAGAACGGUCACUGUGCUAAUCAGCAGUGAAUUUACGGUACCUGCAAAGGAAGCACCGGCUAACUCCGUGCCAGCAGCCGCGGUAAUACGGAGGGUGCGAGCGGUAAUCGGAAUUACUGGGCGUAAAGCGCUCGUAGGUCGUAUGACAAGUCAAGGGUGAAAUCCCCGCGCUCAACGUGGGAACUGCCGUAGAAACUGGAGAACUGGAGUGUGUGAGAGGAUAGUGGAAGUCCAGGUGUAGGAGUGA